GCUUGUCUCAAAGAUUAAGCCAUGCAUGUCUAAGUAUAAACAACUUUGUACUGUGAAACUGCGAAUGGCUCAUUAAAUCAGUUAUAGUUUAUUUGAUAGUACCUUACUACUUGGAUAACCGUAGUAAUUCUAGAGCUAAUACAUGCGAAAAGACCCGACUUUUUGGAAGGGUUGUAUUUAUUAGAUACAAAACCAACCCAGGCUCUGCCUGGUCUUGUGGUGAUUCAUAAUAACCGAACGAAUCGUAUGGCAUCAGCUGGCGAUGAAUCAUUCAAGUUUCUGACCUAUCAGCUUCCGACGGUAGGGUAUUGGCCUACCGUGGCAAUGACGGGUAACGGAGAAUUAGGGUUCGAUUCCGGAGAGGGAGCCUGAGAAACGGCUACCACAUCUAAGGAAGGCAGCAGG
rnacentral:rRNA from 1 species